AAUCCAUUUUUGCGUGCAUAUGAUACGCCAAUUCUCCCCAUUCGCUUCUGUUGAGAACAGAUGCGUACAAAUACCACGCACCAACUCUACGGCGAUGACGUCAUGAACAAGACGCUCGGUUCCAACGCACAGUUCACCUGAUGAGGGUCCAUAUUGCAGCAAAUAAAUGCCCGGAGCUUCAACAUUUGGGAAGUGCUCCAUUGUGUGGAAAAACUCAACAGUGCAAAUAGAAGAUGCCCAAAGCUCUCUCUUGGUCAGUGUGGGAAACUGCUGGACCUGAAGUGCAGGAACAUAGCACAGAUAAAGGUGUUCUGGAG